AGUCAUCAACCCGAACCGUUUUACUGCGGCCAAAGGUUGGACGUGGGGCGUGCUGCCGCAAGGCUGCUCCCCUCAAAUGCGUCGGUUGGGCCUGUGGGUCGAACUCGAAAGGGCGUUGUACCAUCCUCGCUCCCUCGAGAUGCCUCCCCUCCCGUGCCCCUCCACGACCUGCCUCUGAAGGGUGGCGGUCAAAACCAUUUUGAA
rnacentral:misc_RNA from 1 species